AACUCCAUGUAAACUUUCUAGUUAAACCUCAUUUCAAAUAGUGAAAGAAUUAGAGCCUGACUAGAAUGCCUGGCUGACGAUGGUUUCUCAAUAAAUAUUUCUGAUUGAUAAGCUGAAAAUGAUGACAGCUGAGUCCCACUUUAAGUUGGCUCCCUACUUUUUCUGCAUUUGUUGCAAGAUGAGGAUAUCCCAUCUCUGGUUGUGACUUGCUGAGAUCGGAGUAUGUCUGCCUGGUGACUCUGAAUCUAUGAGAAGAACUUUUUUCUACUGUUCCAAUACCAGCAAACACACUCAAACCAUGUACCUCAAUCUCUGAAACAGGUACCUCUUCCCAGACCAAAAGCCCAUGGCCGAAACCAGGGAAUUGAAAUUGAUCAAUGACAUUGGGAACAGAAGCAUUCCCUUUCUCAGAUUGGUUAUGCUAUUUCUCCUUCUUCCUUUUGUCAAUAAAAUUCAUUUAUCAGAGGUCA